rnacentral:rRNA from 1 species
AGUGAACGCUGGCGGUAGGCCUAACACAUGCAAGUCGAGCGGCAGCACAGUAAGAGCUUGCUCUUACGGGUGGCGAGUGGCGGACGGGUGAGGAAUACAUCGGAAUCUACUUUUUCGUGGGGGAUAACGUAGGGAAACUUACGCUAAUACCGCAUACGACCUACGGGUGAAAGCAGGGGGUCUUCGGACCUUGCGCGACUGAAUGAGCCGAUGUCGGAUUAGCUAGUUGGCGGGGUAAAGGCGCACCAAGGCGACGAUCCGUAGCUGGUCUGAGAGGAUGAUCAGCCACACUGCAACUGAGACACGGUCCAGACUCCUACGGGAGGCAGCAGUGGGGAAUAUUGGACAAUGGGCGCAAGCCUGAUCCAGCCAUACCGCGUGGGUUAAGAAGGCCUUCGGGUUGUAAAGCCCUUUUGUUGGGAAAGAAAAGCAGCAGGUUAAUACCCCGCUGUUCUGACGGUACCCAAAGAAUAAGCACCGGCUAACUUCGUG